GCAGGAUCAAGGCUUUCACUUCCAUAGCUCAGUGCUAUGGGAUGCCUGGGAGUUUUAAUUUGGGGGAAGCGCUAGUACUCUUUGAUAGGAAAUGCUAAGGACCUUGGCUCAUCUAUACAGCCAUUUAUUCAACUCAUUUAUUCAGACAGUAAGAAGUUACUGGGUUGAUGCAUCCUCAGAGGUUGUGAGAUAUGUUGGAAACUAGGCAAGGGAGGUUAAUGUCUGUGGAAGGUCCAGGGUGAGAGAAAACCCUUGUCUUCAUGAGGGGUUGGCCUGCUGGCUGAUAACUGAACAGAGGAUGGGCCGGAGAUGUCAAAGCCUUGGUCCUUUCAUUAUUGGCUACUACUUUCUGAUGGAUGUCAGGUAGUGUAAUACCGGCUAAAUAGUUUUUUUAAAGCCCCAGACACCUUACAUUAUGGCAGCUUCCCUAUGCGGCCAAUAGUCCCCAUGAUGGAUGGUAAUAACACUUUUCCCCUGGGUGAAUCUUUGUCUUUACUCUCGUGGCUUGUUCUUGGUCUUGCAGCUCUUCUGAUGUCUUUGGUGGAGUAUCCAUUGGCUUGUAGAGCUGAGUUUAGGUGGUUCAGUUCACCUUGGAGUGAUGACCGUCACCCCAGCUUUCAAAUUGAUUUAAAAACGCAGCGGAGAGUUCCACCGGUCACCCACCAAAAGAACGGAGCGGGACCGCAACAGACUAUUAUUAAAAGACCUUUUUUUCUUCAUUUUCCUCUUCCCUGAACUAUGUAACAAAUCCCCCCAAUAAAAGUAACAUUUAUUUUAACAAUAACACUCUCUAUCUGGUUAUUUUGUAUCUCCCUCUGACUCCUUCCUUUGCAUGCAGUUUCUCUCCCUCCCGUCCUUUUAAACUCCGGUUGAGGUUUCUCUGCCAUAGAUUAACAUGGCGGACGAUACAAAUUGGCUCAUAUCUCUAUCAAAAUUACCCCUAGAACGCUCCUCUUUUACUCCUAACCCUUUCUAAGGCUCCUGACUCGAAGACAACCAGCAGAACCGGAAUCGGUCCAGUUUUCAGCACCUCAACAGCUGACUGUCAAACGAGAUCGACGGCUCCUUUCAAGCCAAGUUACUGCCUUAUCCCGGACUUUUUAAGAGAUCCCUAGCCCCUUUCUGUGAAUUGGGGAUGGGGGGGAUCGCUCUCUCGCUGGGGAGACAUAGUUCUCCAAGGACCCUCGCCCUCUGCAGCUGCCAAGGGGUGCCCGGGCGGGUGCCCUCCACGUUUCAUUCAUACUUUUCAUGAUUUUAUGAAGGAGAAGAACACUCUUCCCCAGACCUACCCCUGGACUUAUGAAAUCUUAUACUUCCAAAGACUACAACCCACAUGUGCCCCUUCCCAUGCCAUCUCUAUGAAUUCCUUAUGAACUCUUUUUCCUCAUGUAUUUGU